UCUCAAUGCUGGUGUCCUGGGGAGCUGACGUCCCCCAGCUCAGAGGAGAUAAAGGCAGAAAACACCACAGGAAAUUGGCUGACAGCAAAGAGCGGAAGGAAGAAGAGGUGCCCCUAUACUAAACACCAGACGCUGGAAUUGGAGAAAGAAUUUCUGUUCAAUAUGUAUUUGACGCGAGAGCGCCGCCUGGAGAUUAGCAAGACCAUUAACCUUACAGACAGACAAGUCAAAAUCUGGUUUCAAAAUCGCAGAAUGAAACUCAAGAAAAUGAACCGAGAGAAUCGGAUCCGGGAACUGACCUCCAAUUUUAAUUUCACCUGAGAGCGCGGCCUCUCCUCCUCCCUUCCCGCUCCUUCCUCUCCCCGCCCCUCCUCCCUUUGUGCCUGGUGAUAUAUUUUUUUUUCCUCCCUGAGUAUAAAUGCAAUGCGACUGCAAAAAAGGCAAAGACCUCAGACUCUCCUUCCAAGGGACCUGUGGUUCGUGCUGCGAAGAUGCUUCCACUUAAAGCAUGAGAAAUGGGGUGCCGGGAUGUGGGGUGUGGUGUGUGCCC
rnacentral:lncRNA from 1 species